rnacentral:rRNA from 1 species
GACGAACGCUGGCGGCGUGCUUAACACAUGCAAGUCGAACGGAAAGGCCCUGCUUUUGUGGGGUGCUCGAGUGGCGAACGGGUGAGUAACACGCGAGUAACCUGCCCUUGACUUUGGGAUAACUUCAGGAAACUGGGGCUAAUAUCGGAUAGGAGCUCCUGCUGCAUGGGGGGGGUUGGAAAGUUUCGGCGGUUGGGGAUGGACUCGCGGCUUAUCAGCUUGUUGGUGGGGUAGUGGAUUACCAAGGCUUUGACGGGUAGGCGGCCUGAGAGGGUGACCGGCCACAUGGGGACUGAGGUACGGCCCAGACUGCUACGGGAGGCAGCAGUGGGGAAUAUUGCACAAUGGGCGGAAGCCUGAUGCAGCAACGCCGGGUGCGGGAUGACGGCCUUCGGGUUGUAAACCGCUUUCGCCUGUGACGAAGCGUGAGUGACGGUAAUGGGUAAAGAAGCACCGGCUAACUACGUG